UACGUAGGGUGCAAGCGUUACUCGGAAUUACUGGGCGUAAAGCGUGCGCAGGCGGCUUUGCAAGACAGAUGUGAAAUCCCCGGGCUUAACCUGGGAAUGGCAUUUGGGACUGCAAGGCUGGAGUGUGGCAGAGGAGACUGGAAUUCCCGGUGUAGCAGUGAAAUGCGUAGAUAUUGGGAGGAAUACCGAUGGCGAAGGCAGGUCUCUGGGCUGACACUGACGCUCAUGCACGAAAGCGUGGGGAGCAAACAGG
rnacentral:rRNA from 1 species